AAUUUUUUCAUGACCCACCAUCAAAUGUAAACUUGAAAGUUUGUGUUAAGGAAAUCAAAAAUUUCUCUAACAGUAUAGUUUAAUUGAAUAUUGAAAUUCUAAUAACAAAAUUAUUACCCCUUAUUUUAAAUGGCCUCAGUAAUUUUUGUGUGUGAAGUUUGCAUGUGUGUUUGCAUUACAAGCUUACUUAAUUAAAAUUUCUGGAACAAAGAGCUGUCCUAAAUGCAGGAAGAAAAUUGACAAGCCUGCUAAUGUAUUGUUGGUUAACUACGUAUUGAUUCUCUUGAAGAACAAGGCAUGUAAAGGGAAACAACCCCCAGAGUCAGAGCAUCUCUUCUCUCAGCACAAGAGGCAUCUGGAUUACCUGCAUGUAAACUGCAUUAAACUCGUGUGUUUUACAUGCACUAGAAGCAUUUAUGGUGUGGAUGCCCCGCUCCAGAACGGUGAUGUGGACUCAAAGGCCAAAAUAAGGUCCUUAAUGAUAGAAAAAUUUCAGUGACAGAAGAAAAAUUUUCAGGUUUCUAGCGGUACUUUGGAUUUGAUGGAUGAUAUCAUGGAUCUGAGGACUACUGUGGCGAGAUGGGAUGCUUCUCUUCAUGAUCAAAUAAUGUCAACCAGUGAAGAUUUCAAGGCUUGGGACAACUUGGCUUCUGUGUUGGCAAAAAAGUGUAAAAUGCGAGGAAAUUCUACCUCGUCUGAAAUCAUAACCUUCAGGAAAUACCUAUGUUACCUGAAAUCAAAAGGCUGCUGGAUUAUGCAAACCUGACUUGUAAUUUGCAAAAGAUACACAACACUCAGCUUGAGCUCAUGCCGAAUGGGAAAUUGUGGACCGUCACUGACUAUGCUUGUGAAGAACAAGCUACUGCAAGCUU
rnacentral:lncRNA from 1 species